GGCUGGGUCCUGCGCAAUAGGAACCCGUGAAACUGGUCAGGCCCGGAAGGGAGCAGCCAUAAGCGGAGAUUUCUAUGUGCAGCAGGGAAACCCAGCCAUC
rnacentral:SRP_RNA from 1 species